rnacentral:rRNA from 1 species
UGAGGAAUAUUGGGCAAUGCCCGCAAGGGUGACCCAGCAACGCCGCGUGGAGGAUGAAUGUCGUAAGAUUGUAAACUCCUGUUAGAGAGGAAGAAUAGUACCGGUUGGACCGGUAUAUGACUGUACCCUCAGAGAAAGCCCCGGCUAACUACGUGCCAGCAGCCGCGGUAAUACGUAGGGGGCAAGCGUUGUCCGGAUUUACUGGGUGUAAAGGGCGCGCAGGCGGGAUAAAAAGUCAGUGGUGAAAUCCUACAGCUUAACUGUAGAACUGCCUUUGAUACUUUUAUUCUUGAGUUCGGGAGAGAGAGACGGAAUUCCAGGUGUAGUGGUGAAAUACGUAGAUAUCUGGAAGAACACCAGUUGCGAAGGCGGUCUCUUGGUCCGACACUGACGCUGAGGCGCGAAAGCGUGGGGAGCAAACA